GACGAACGCUGGCGGCGUGCUUAACACAUGCAAGUCGAACGGAAAGGCUCCAGCUUGCUGGAGUACUCGAGUGGCGAACGGGUGAGUAACACGUGGGUAAUCUGCCCUGCACUCUGGGAUAAGCCUGGGAAACUGGGUCUAAUACUGGAUAUGACCUUUCUCCUUAUGGGGUUUGGUGGAAAGUUUUUCGGUGUAGGAUGAGCCCGCGGCCUAUCAGCUUGUUGGUGGGGUGAUGGCCUACCAAGGCGACGACGGGUAGCCGGCCUGAGAGGGUGAUCGGCCACAUUGGGACUGAGAUACGGCGCAGACUCCUACGGGAGGCAGCAGUGGGGAAUAUUGCACAAUGGGCGGAAGCCUGAUGCAGCGACGCCGCGUGAGGGAUGACGGCCUUCGGGUUGUAAACCUCUUUCAGCAGGGACGAAGCGUAAGUGACGGUACCUGCAGAAGAAGCACCGGCUAACUACGUG
rnacentral:rRNA from 1 species